UGGACCCAUGCCCAGGGCCUCUGCUCCCUAAAGGUGAUGUUGAACCUCUGAUUCUGCUACAGUACUAAGAUUUAUUAUGUCACUGGAGGGCAGUGAAGAUAUGAUGUGACAUGAUGUACAGAGCAAACCAACUGGCCCUCUUGCAACUGGAACUCUUGAAUGGAACACUUGCUCUUGGAGUCCUGAGGGGCCAUUGAAGGUAUCCAACUACUCUGAGGCUCCCAUGCUGGAGAGAUCCCAGUCCAGUGCCACCAAGUCAACUCUGUUGAUGCCACAUGGAACAGACGAACCACUCAGCUGUGCCCUGUCCAAAUUCCUGACCUAAAAAAUUCUGAGAAAUGAAGGAGUGGAAUCACUGGGGAUACCUCCCGCAAUAGGAAAGCCCCUUGAGAACUGAAACAAGUCAUCUGUUUCUCAGGAGGAGCUGACCAAGAGCCCCCUCCUUUCGUGUGAAUUUAAAUUCCCCUUUUCAUGAGACUUUUCUUAAAGACAAGGAAAAAAAGCUAUCAGGGGAAAAUGAAUAAUAUGACAUCGAAAGUAUUGAAAGGCUUGAAAUGAUCCCACAUGUGUCAUCUGACUUUGAGAGGUGAAGGGGCUCCCGUCUGUACGUAGAGAGGCUGGCGUGCUGCCUGGAUUACUUGUCUGAUGUCACAUGCUAAUGGGAUCCCAGCUAGAAUGCUGGCAACUCUGACUGUAACAACCUCAGACACCUUUGCGCACAGCUUCAGUUUCAAAUUAAUUUUCACAUCCUCCUUAGGAAACUGGGCCCUCCGUAAUCAACAGAACUCUGCAUCGCACAUCCUAACAUUGAAACUCACCUGAGCACAAGGAUCCUACAGUUCUCCUAGACAGACCUCAAGAACCCGCACAGACCCUCGGGGCACACUCCCCUGUGUGUUUUGGAACAAAUAGUCACUCUCUGUGUUUUCAAAUGUCCUUUGGCCUUUUGUCAAAUCCACACUGACCUCUUUUCAAAUGCGUGUGGUCAGUGUUAUUUUUCAAAGGCCCUUUGAAGUUUGCUUUGUUGCCUUCCCUCCCUGUGGGUCACAGAGCAAUUACUGGAAGAUUUGUGGGAGGCCGCUUUUGGCUUUGUGUACAUGUGAACGCCUGUUUAUAAAUCAGGUGAGUUAAGAACUGUGAUGUGGGGGUCCCCAGCUUCCAGCUAGCAGCAGCUUCCCAAUUCCUUCUGCGUGAGGAUCACCAGAAAAUAACCAAAGCCAAAAUUUCAUUCUGAGUCUGUGGGGUUUUCUACAACAGGUCCCGUGUCUUCUUUCUUGGCCCCAUCCUUCCCUGUGGCUUCCCUCUCCUUGGAGUUAAAUACUGGCUGGAUGUCAGGCUGGGGACCCUCAGUGCACCCCACUGGCCCAAGUGGGGCACCGGGAGCGUGUUCCAGGCCUGCCAAGGUGGCAGUGUGUGCAUCCCCUCUCUCAGGGUUCUUCUAGCUGUAAUUUCAAGAUUGGGAGCUUUUCCUGACAGCGCAGAGUCCACUUGCCCUACAUUUAAUUGACUUCACAAACUUUCAGUUCCCUGUCUGUAAAUGGGGUUAGUAUGUAAAUGGGACUGCUGCAAGGAUACAUGAGAGAAUACCUAUGGGAUUAGAGGGACCCUUGUCCUCACCACUCCAUCAGGCAAGGAGGGAAGCCCCCGUCAGAUUAAUUGGAUAACUGGAGCUGCCUGCAGUCAUAAAACGAAAUCAUGUUUGUAUAGGGACCUCUACGAUCCAGACACAUCACUUCAUUGCAUCCUCAUGCCCAUCCUGUGCGGAGGUUAUGGUUGUUACCUCAUUUUGACAAUGAAGCAUCAAAGGUUGAGAGGUGCAGUUUCCCUGUGUUUGUGCAGGGCUGGGCCGAGUUAGGAGCCUGAAUCUCUCUCCACCUCCAUGGCUUCUCCAGGAGGCUUCAUCUUGCUGCGGAGGUGGACUGCAGAUGGCCACUGCCACCACUCCUCAGAGGGCAUGUUAUACUGGUGGAGUUAAUAACUGACACCUGGGAGAUUAGGUCUGUGGCUCUCCUUUCUCUCUAGUGAUGAUCAGUUCUAUCCAUGGGGACUCAGAACGGAGGGCCAGAGAGGACUGCAGAAACAAAGUCCAGAGAUGUGAAGUGACUUGUCCAAGAUCCCAAAGCUUGUCCAUGUCUGAAUCACGAUAAACAACUUCAGGGAUGGUCUCUCUAUGAUAUUUAAAACAGUGUGUGUUGUCUUCUGCUUUUCCUUUGAUUUGGAGCCUGCUGUUAUAACACUGUCUUGUUGGACUGCCACGUGUCCACUGGGAAUUGCUCCCAGAGCAGAAUUGGACUCAGCAGGGCUGCAGCGGAGUGUGGUGAAAGGACUGCUGAACAGGGUGGGGAGCAGAGGUCUGAGGGCCAGUCUCCCUAUCCACUGCUGACUUUUCUUGGGUAUUUGAGGUUUUCCUAGGUUUAAAUUAGUUGAAUAAAAUAGAUAGUUUUCAGGCCUUUUGAUUGUUCAAUGCUCUGGAAUUGGAGCCCUUUGGACAGAAGAAAUUUACAUGUCACCUUAAAACAUACAUAAAAAAGUGCAAAGCUGCUCCAGUUGAAGUUAGAAGAGGAAAGCAAGAACCUCUUUCCCUGGGCACCCCUGAAGCACAUUGCGGAACCCUGGGCCUCCUCAGAGCACAGUCUGGAAACCUCCAGACUGGAGGCCUCUAAGAUCUUCUGGUGGGAUGAUAAGUGUGAGAUGCAUCCAGAGGUACUACCAAAGAUCUUCACUUCUCCAGGGUCCUCCCAGGAAUAUACAUUUGUCUCAGAAGCCAGCAAACUCCCUUGUCUUCCCUUCACUUCCUGCCCAUGUGCCAAGGUGGUAGGUUUCAGAGUUAAUGGAAAGCUGGGACUUGACCCUGUUCCUCAAGGAGCUUAUUCUUAAACUUUCAAGGCAGAUGCCCCACGAAUGUUUGAAAAAUAGAUGAAAACACCUCUUUUGAGGGAUACAGAAGCCAAAAACUGUGCCUAGCACCCAGUCCUCAGUAAGAAGUACAUUUGGCAUGGUGCCCAGAGCAUAUAUGCUUAUCCAUAUGAAUGCCAUAAAAAACCUGGAGAGAAUCCAUUCUCUUUGUUUCAUUAAAAAGAUGCUGGUGGUGAGCCACUGACGUGCUUUUGUGAUCCCUUAAUGGGUUGUGCUCUGGAGAACGCUGGCACGGGUGUGCUCACUGGUUACUCCCUGCAACCACACUGGGGUCACAUUUAGGUCUCUUUUGCUACAUCUAAGGUCAGCAAACUAUGACCCACUGACAAACUGUGGGUGGUCACCUACUUCUGUAUGGCUCAGGGACACUCUGCAAGCGCUGUGAGCUGCAGGACCCAAGCUGAGGUGGUUCCAUCUGUCCCUGUCCCCUACUUGGCUUCCAGCACCUGCCUCCCCUGCCAGAGGACUCACCUUCCUGCCACACAGGGCCCAUGCUGGUCACUCCUACAGCAUGGGGGCUCUGCUGUUGCAAUGCGGGGCGCCAGGCUGCAGAAUCUAAGUCUGGGAA
rnacentral:lncRNA from 10 species